rnacentral:sRNA from 22 species
AUUAAUACUUGGAGAGGUAAGUGACAUGAACAACUAAGUCUAUCUCAAAUAAAGAACCUUUAUUUAGUAGAUCUUGUUUUUGUCUUUUUGUGUGCUCUU